rnacentral:lncRNA from 10 species
CCAGCACAGACACCUUACAAGCAGGUAAGAAAAUGGAGGCUCCCAGAGAUUUGACAACCUGCCCGCAGCAAUGACCAAAUCAGACUUGGUGCUAAGUCUGCACCUCCCCAAAGUCAGUGUGUUUGUAUGCUCUGCUGCCACUGCCCCCCGCUGGCCCUGCACAUGAUGUGAACCAUCAGGCAGACCUGGAGUUCUGUCUCCUGGGUGGGCUGCUUGCCAACACCAGGGUGGCUGGCCCCUGCCUGUGUCAGGUCCUGCAGUGUUGACUCUCUUCGUGUGAUGUUGGGCAGGUGGAGCUGGUUGUGCUGAGCCUGAGGAAACAUCCAAUGUGCCAAACUUUCUUGUGUGUUUCCCUCUGCUGGUUAUUUAGUAAGCCCAGGAAAAGAGCAAAUCCUGCCCCCAACAGAUGAUCCUCUCGAUGAGAGUGGUUAUGGUGAUGAUGCCAGCAUGCAGUGGGGAGAUUCGACUUUUCGAGAUUCUUCCAGCCCUUUGCUUCCCACAUUUCAUAAUGCUUGAUGGCAACAGCUCUGCUGACUGUUUGGGAAAAAGACAAUACUUAUGUCCCUUUUAGAGACACUUUACUCAGUCCCUCCCGCAAUGCUUAGUACGCAGAGAAAAUAGUAAAAUUAACCCGAUUUGCUCAUCACUCAGUUUUGGCCGUUAUCAACUAAUGGCCACUCUAGUUUCUACUGGGGUCCCAUAUACUCUGCCUGUCCCCUGAUUAUUUAGGUGCUAAUCCCAACAUUGUAUCCUUUUGAUGCGUUCCAAAG